UCCCUGUUACCAGGGCAGUCUGAUUAGAAAAAUUCAACUAAUCAAAAGGGUUGCGCUCGUUGCGGGACUUAACCCAACAUCUCACGACACGAGCUGACGACGGCCAUGCAACACCUGUCACUGCGCUCAAUAAAGCACUUCUUUCCUUCGAAAAAAUUCGCAGGAUGUCAAGCCUGGGUAAGGUUCUUCGCUUACCAUCGAAUUAAACAACACGCUCCACCGCUUGUGCGGGUCCCCGUCAAUUCCUUUAUGUUUUAGUCUUGCGACCGUACUCCACAGGCGGGAUGCUUAACGCGUUAGCUUCGCAACUUUCCGGGUCGAUACGGAAAACUGCUGGCAUCCAUAGUUUACGGCGUGGACUAC
rnacentral:misc_RNA from 1 species